rnacentral:rRNA from 1 species
UACGGAGGGUGCAAGCGUUAUCCGGAUUCACUGGGGUUUAAAGGGUGCGUAGGUGGAGUGGUAAGUCAGUGGUGAAAUCUCCAAGCUUAACUUGGAACUGCCGUUGAUACUAUCAUUCUUGAAUAUCGUGGAGGUAAGCGGAAUAUGUCAUGUAGCGGUGAAAUGCUUAGAUAUGACAUAGAACACCGAUUGCGAAGGCAGCUUGCUACACGAUCAUUGACACUGAGGCACGAAAGCGUGGGGAUCAAACGG